rfam:Gossypium hirsutum cultivar TM-1 chromosome 20, whole genome shotgun sequence
UCCUCAGUAGCUCAGCGAUAGAGCAGUCGAUUGUUAACUGACUGGUCGUAGGUUCGAAUCCUAGCAGUCGAU